GUACUCGCGAAUGCCUCUAGAUUAGACGUUUGAUCAUGGCUCAGACUGAACGCUGGCGGUAAGCCUAACACAUGCAAGUCGAACGGCAGCACAGGAGAGCCUGCUCUCUGGGUGGCGAGUGGCGGACGGGUGAGGAAUACAUCGGAAUCUACUCUGUCGUGGGGGAUAACGUAGGGAAACUUACGCUAAUACCGCAUACGACCUACGGGUGAAAGCAGGGGAUCUUCGGACCUUGCGCGAUUGAAUGGGAGCCGAAGUCGGAUUAGCUAGUUGGCGGGGUAAAGGCCCACCAAGGCGACGAUCCGUAGCUGGUCUGAGAGGAUGAUCAGCCACACUGGAACUGAGACACGGUCCAGACUCCUACGGGAGGG
rnacentral:rRNA from 1 species